rnacentral:rRNA from 1 species
UGAGGAAUAUUGGACAAUGGACGAAAGUCUGAUCCAGCCAUGCCGCGUGUAGGAAGACGGCCCUCUGGGUUGUAAACUACUUUUAUAAGGGAAUAAACCCCCGUACGUGUACGGGGCUGAAUGUACCUUAAGAAUAAGCACCGGCUAACUCCGUGCCAGCAGCCGCGGUAAUACGGAGGGUGCAAGCGUUAUCCGGAUUUAUUGGGUUUAAAGGGUCCGUAGGUGGAAUUGUAAGUCAGUGGUGAAAUCUUUCGGCUUAACCGGAAAACUGCCAUUGAUACUGCAGUUCUUGAGUAUGCUCGAGGUAGGCGGAAUAUGUCAUGUAGCGGUGAAAUGCAUAGAUAUGACAUAGAACACCAAUAGCGAAGGCAGCUUACCAGAUCAUAACUGACACUGAGGGACGAAAGCGUGGGGAGCGAACA